AUUGAACGCUGGCGGCAUGCCUUACACAUGCAAGUCGAACGGUAACGGGCCUUCGGGUGCCGACGAGUGGCGAACGGGUGAGUAAUACAUCGGAACGUGCCCGAUCGUGGGGGGUAACGAGGCGAAAGCUUUGCUAAUACCGCAUACGAUCUACGGAUGAAAGCAGGGGACCGCAAGGCCUUGCGCGGACGGAGCGGCCGAUGGCAGAUUAGGUAGUUGGUGGGGUAAAAGCUUACCAAGCCGACGAUCUGUAGCUGGUCUGAGAGGAUGAUCAGCCACACUGGGACUGAGACACGGCCCAGACUCCUACGGGAGGCAGCAGUGGGGAAUUUUGGACAAUGGGCGCAAGCCUGAUCCAGCCAUGCCGCGUGCAGGAUGAAGGCCUUCGGGUUGUAAACUGCUUUUGUACGGAACGAAAAGCCUUCUUUUAAUACAGGAGGGUCAUGACGGUACCGUAAGAAUAAGCACCGGCUAACUACGUG
rnacentral:rRNA from 1 species